rnacentral:sRNA from 1 species
AGCUGACCAACUAGAGGAAGGAAAGGAGGAAAGGAGAGAGGGCGAGAAGCGGAGGAGAGAAGGAAGAAAUGGGUUUUCCCCAACCCGUAUACCCGCGCGACCCGCGACUUCCAAUCGGCGGGUUUUCGCCAUUUUCGUCCAAUUUUCCGACGAAUUGAAUCAAGGACCUAAAACAAAGCCCAAGAGGUAAUUGAGGCGUUGGAACAAGUUUGAAGGUCGAAUUGGAAACACCCAAUUCUAGGGUUCUUCACGGUUUUGGUGAAAUUGAAGCACUUCCAGGCCAAAUUGGCCUUGGCCUCAGGUAUGAAAGUUAUCCGACCGUUGGAUGGCGCUAAUCUUCAUGAUGCCUUGAUGUGUGGUGCUAGGGAGUUGUUGGGCGAACUCCAGGUUCAAGUUAGCAGAGCUUUGGUGGCCACGAGGAAUCCAACGGUGUUCUGACAGAAUUCACAAAAGUAGGACUCACCCUCGG